UACGAAGGGGGCUAGCGUUGCUCGGAAUCACUGGGCGUAAAGCGCACGUAGGCGGAUUGUUAAGUCAGGGGUGAAAUCCUGGAGCUCAACUCCAAUACUCGUCUGAUACUGGCGAUCUCGAGUCCGGGAGAGGUGAGUGGAACUGCGAGUGUAGAGGUGAAAUUCGUAGAUAUUCGCAAGAACACCAGUGGCGAAGGCGGCUCACUGGCCCGGAACUGACGCUGAGGUGCGAAAGCGUGGGGAGCAAACAGG
rnacentral:rRNA from 1 species